AGUGAAGAACCCAACGUAGAUGCA
rnacentral:siRNA from 1 species